GACGAACGCUGGCGGCGUGCUUAACACAUGCAAGUCGAACGAAGUGGCGAACGGGUGAGUAACGCGUAAUCAACCUGCCCUUCAGAGGGGGACAACAGUUGGAAACGACUGCUAAUACCGCAUACUGAAGGAGGGGAUUGCGUCUGAUUGGCUAGUUGGAGGGGUAACGGCCCACCAAGGCGAUGAACAGUAGCCGGGCUGAGAGGAGGAACGGACACAUGGGGACUGAGAGCUGGCUCAGACUCCUACGGGAGGCAGCAGUGGGGAAUCUUCCGAAAUGGAGGAAAGUCUGAAGGAGCAAAGCCGCGUGAGUGAUGACGGCCUUCGGGUUGUAAAGCUCUGUUAAUCGGGACGCGGUACCGGAAGAGAAAGCCACGGCUAACUACGUGCCAGCCGCCGCGGUAAUAC
rnacentral:rRNA from 1 species